rnacentral:rRNA from 1 species
CCUACGGGAGGCAGCAGUGGGGAAUAUUGGACAAUGGGCGAAAGCCUGAUCCAGCAAUGCCGCGUGAGUGAUGAAGGCCUUAGGGUUGUAAAGCUCUUUUACCAGGGAUGAUAAUGACAGUACCUGGAGAAUAAGCUCCGGCUAACUCCGUGCCAGCAGCCGCGGUAAUACGGAGGGAGCUAGCGUUGUUCGGAAUUACUGGGCGUAAAGCGUACGUAGGCGGUUAUUCAAGUCAGAGGUGAAAGCCUGGAGCUCAACUCCAGAACUGCCUUUGAAACUAGAUAGCUAGAAUCUUGGAGAGGUGAGUGGAAUUCCGAGUGUAGAGGUGAAAUUCGUAGAUAUUCGGAAGAACACCAGUGGCGAAGGCGACUCACUGGACAAGUAUUGACGCUGAGGUACGAAAGCGUGGGGAGCAAACAGGAUUAGAUACCCUGGUAGUCCACGCCGUAAACGAUGAUAACUAGCUGUUCGGGCUCUACGAGCUUGAGUGGCGCNGACACGACAUUAAGUUAUCCGUCCGUCGGGAGGUACGGUCGCGAAGAAUUAAAACUAACGAAAGAAAGUUAGUACGGCGNGAGACGUCGACCGAACGGACGACGACGAGGGAGGAGG